rnacentral:rRNA from 1 species
GAUGAACGCUGGCGGCGUGCCCAAUACAUGCAAGUCGAGCGAACAGACGAGGAGCUUGCUCCUCUGACGUUAGCGGCGGACGGGUGAGUAACACGUGGAUAACCUACCUAUAAGACUGGGAUAACUUCGGGAAACCGGAGCUAAUACCGGAUAAUAUAUUGAACCGCAUGGUUCAAUAGUUAAAGACGGUUUUGCUGUCACUUAUAGAUGGAUCCGCGCCGCAUUAGCUAGUUGGUAAGGUAACGGCUUACCAAGGCGACGAUGCGUAGCCGACCUGAGAGGGUGAUCAGCCACACUGGAACUGAGACACGGUCCAGACUCCUACGGGAGGCAGCAGUAGGGAAUCUUCCGCAAUGGGCGAAAGCUUGACGGAGCAACGCCGCGUGAGUGAUGAAGGUCUUCGGAUCGUAAAACUCUGUUAUUAGGGAAGAACAAAUGUGUAAGUAACUAUGCACGUCUUGACGGUACCUAAUCAGAAAGCCACGGCUAACUACGUG